AUUGAACGCUGGCGGCAUGCCUUACACAUGCAAGUCGAACGGUAACAGGUUAAGCUGACGAGUGGCGAACGGGUGAGUAAUAUAUCGGAACGUGCCCAGUCGUGGGGGAUAACGUAGCGAAAGCUACGCUAAUACCGCAUACGAUCUACGGAUGAAAGCGGGGGAUCGCAAGACCUCGCGCGAUCGGAGCGGCCGAUAUCAGAUUAGGUUGUUGGUGAGGUAAAAGCUCAACAAUCCUGGGAUCUGUAGCUGGUCUGAGAGGACGACCAGCCACACUGGAACUGCAACACGGUCCAGACUCCUACGGGAGGAAGCAGUGGGGAAUUUUGGACAAUGGACGCAAGUCUGAUCCAGCAAUGCCGCGUGCAGGACGAAGGCCUUCGGGUUGUAAACUGCUUUUGUACGGAACGAAACGGUGAGCUCUAAUACAGUUUGCUAAUGACGGUACCGUAAGAAUAAGCACCGGCUAACUACGUGCCAGCCGCCGCGGUAA
rnacentral:rRNA from 1 species